UUAAAGGCGACGCCUGCCCAGUGAAUAAUUAAACGGCCGCGGUAUCCUAACCGUGCAAAGGUAGCACAAUCAUUUGUCUAUUAAUUGUAGACCUGUAUGAAAGGCAAAAUGAGAGCCCGACUGUCUCUUAUAACAAAUCAAUUAAACUGAUCUCCUAGUACAAAAGCUAGAAUACUAACAUAAGACCAGAAGACCCUGUGAAGCUUUAACAAACCUAUUAAACCUAAUAAUAAUUACUUUCGGUUGGGGCGACCUCGGAAUUAAAAAGAACUUCCAACACAUGACUACAUCAUAAACAAGGCUAACAAGCCGAUAUUUGACCCAGCACCGCUGAUAAUUGAAAUAAGUUACUCCAGGGAUAACAGCGCUAUCUUCUUCAAGAGCCCAUAUCAAAAAGAAGGUUUACGACCUCGAUGUUGGAUCAGGACAUCCCAGUAAUGCAGUCGUUACUAAAGGUUCGUUUGUUCAACGAUUAACAGUCCUACGUGAUCUGAG
rnacentral:rRNA from 1 species